CGGGAAUCUUCCCCGCGCCCAGAAAUCCCAGUGUCCUGCUAGCGUCUCUGUGCACGGGGCCAGCCAGCCGCCAGUGACCCGGGAAUAUCCUGGGCCGCCUUGGUCCGAGCACAGCACAGCUCCAGCCUGUUUGGAUGAGACAGAAACAGCGUUCCUGACCACUUAUGAUUAUUAGAGAUCCUCUUCUAGAACUUCAUCAAAAGAGAGGUGUGAAAGCUUCUGUCCUGAUCCAGUUCCAAUUUGGAUAAUUAAAUUAUGACUACUUAAUUUUUUCCCUCCUCGGAAUACUGCUCCAGGCAGGAUAGAGUUACACAGGUGAGCUCGAAUGAGGAAAGUCACUGCCCAUGUGAUACCUGCUCUCUGCAAAGAGGACUUUGUUCUCCACAGAUGCCAACACAUCACAUUCCAUGAGCAUUAGACUCACAUGUAGUGAAACCAAGUUGAAACUUAUGGACAUAGGAGUGUGACAAACAUGAUGCUAUGGAAUCAUGGAAUAUUCAAAGACUAUUGUGUUAAUGGUAUAAAUAUUAUAUGUAUCUUUACGAGCUGGCUAGUGAUUGUAUUCCUGGCUAAAUGGAUAAGAUAAAGAAUGUUUUCUGCUGGAACUAAAGAUAACGGAGGGCUGGUAAUUAAUGCAAAUUCCCCAUACUGAAACAAUGCAGGUAAUAAGCUUUUUUUUUUUUUUUAAAGUUUUGUUUCCCUUGGGGAAUUGCAUGCAGACUGGUUUGACCUGGUUCAAAGGCCUUGUCAGACAAAAGACUUGAAAUUGUAUAAAAACUGCCCUGACCUGAGGGGAGGGUUAUUCUCACUCCAUCUAAGAACUGGCAAGCAUGAGAUUGUCUAGCAGAAUCAGGCCCUGCAAAAGCACCUGAAGUAUUUUAGAUCUUUCAGGAUGCUAUGUGGAAGAUGACUGACCACCUGAUAAGCUAAGCAUGCAUAUAAGGUGAUUAUUGUUUUGAAGAUGUGUUUUUGUUGACAUUCUUUUGUUCUGAAUAAACACAAAACUG